AUGAACGCUGGCGGCGUGCUUAACACAUGCAGGUCGAACGAUGAAGCUCAGCUUGCUGGGUGGAUUAGUGGCGAACGGGUGAGUAACACGUGAGUAACCUGCCCUUAACUCUGGGAUAAGCCUGGGAAACUAGGUCUAAUACCGGAUAGGAGCGCCUACCGCAUGGUGGGUGUUGGAAAGAUUUAUCGGUUUUGGAUGGACUCGCGGCCUAUCAGCUUGUUGGUGAGGUAAUGGCUCACCAAGGCGACGACGGGUAGCCGGCCUGAGAGGGUGACCGGCCACACUGGGACUGAGACACGGCCCAGACUCCUACGGGAGGCAGCAGUGGGGAAUAUUGCACAAUGGGCGAAAGCCUGAUGCAGCGACGCCGCGUGAGGGAUGACGGCCUUCGGGUUGUAAACCUCUUUCAGUAGGGAAGAAGCGAAAGUGACGGUACCUGCAGAAGAAGCACCGGCUAACUACGUG
rnacentral:rRNA from 1 species